UCAUUGUAUUGGUUGCCGUCGUCGUCGUGUUGCCGUCCUACAUGCUUAAGCUCCCUAGUGAAACUAAAACAGCACUUCACUUAAUUUAAAAUGUAAUUACAAUUAAAAAUUGUAAUUACAAUUAAAAAUAAAAUUCUCUCAAUUUGUAUACCAAACUGAAGAGAUCUAUUACGCAAAAUGGCGCCAUGUUGUGACCACCGAACUAGGUGGCCUCAAAAUUGGUUUAGCACUUUCCCAUGCACGUGCGAUAUCUGUUUUGAGCCACCUUUAGUAUUGACUGUCACAAAAUGGUUUCAAAAAAAUUUAGUUGUUAUUGUAAUACUGUAGGAUCAUGAGAAAC
rnacentral:lncRNA from 1 species